CACGUUUGCGUGCUGACUGCAGGAAUGUCCACCAGAAAUGUUGCCAGAGGAAUUAAUUUAUCUAUACCAUAAGCUGCCACAAAUUGUGUUUUAGAGAAUUUGGCAGUAUGUCCGACCAGCUUCACAAUCGUAGACCACGCCAGCCCAGGACCUCCAACAUCCGGCUUCUUCACCUGCAGGAUCAUCUGAGAUCAGCCAUGCAGACAAUUGAUGAAACUGGUUUUGACCUGACUGCAGUUUGGUGUCGUAACUGACUUCAGUGGGCAACUGCUCACCUUCGAUGGUUACUGGUACCCUGGAGAAGGGUGUUCUUCACGGAUGAAUCCGGGUUUCAACUGGGAUUAAUCCAUGUGAACGAGCUGUUUGCUGUUGUUAACAUUGUGAACAGAGCUCCCCAUGUUGGCGGUGGGGUUAUGGUAUGAGCAGGCAAAAGCUAUGGACAACAAACACAAGGGGUUUGGAUCACUACUGGCUGUAAGCGAACGAGUGCUGCGCGUUUCGAGCAAUACUGGCUGUAUCCAAGGCUCAGCCAAUCAUUAACAUAAUAGAAUGCAGCGCUACACGUGACCUGAAGAAAGAAGAGACAACCAAUUUACUACAGCAUCGGUGCGCGUUCUGGAAAGUCAGCUUGCCAGUUACAGCAGCGCGUCCCCUGAACAAUAACGAAGAGGUAACGUUAGGUGAGAAGCCUGACCACGGAGACGGGGAUGAGAAGGUGAUGAAGUGUACUUCAUGAGCUGUAACCAAAAAACUGGAAAGUUUGAGUUGAGGGAGAAGUAUUAGCAUUUUUAAGUAUCUUGCUAGCUGGAUCGAAUUCUCUGUUAGAUAGCCAGAGAAAUGUUGAGCAUAAUUUGCCAAUUUAUCUGAUCAAAUAAUUUAGGUUAUGGUGUGAAAAUUAGCUUGCUAAUAAAGUCAGAUAGCUAACGUUACAACAUCAGAUGAGCUAACAUUAGUAACCUAACCAAUUCACCAUAGUAUUAACUGGUAUACGACUCAAGUUGCUUACUGACCCCGGCAGUCUGUAUGAAAUGUUAACGAACUAACCACUAGCUGUUAACUAAUGUUUUCCCUCUACAGUACAUGGUUAAUUUUUUAGACUGAGAGAAUUAGGUGAAAAUGAGGCGUUGCUUUUUAAACAAGUGGAUUCAGGGAUCAAGUGUAGCUGGAGCUGGGCCUGGCUUAAACUGGUGCCACUAUAGAGCUGAUAGGAACACCACACACUUUCCCCCUUUCUCACUUUUGCUGGCACAUUGUAGAACAGAUGUCCACAGGCAGAAAGUGUCCAAUUUUAAUAAUGUGCAGUGUUGCCUAAAGACAUUGUUUUUGUUGUGUUGAACUUGACAGUAACACACGUGUGUGUGUGUGUGUGUGAGGGGGAUUAUACUUUUUUAAAUUCAGUGAACGUUGUUUUUGCACACGUACCUUGCGAACAUGAUCGUCUAUAGUGGACACUAUAAUAGAGCAAAACUAUAAUGCCUGUUUGUUUCAUUCUAUUUCUACUUUGUUUUUUUCCCAAGUGCAAUAUUUAUGUGUGCGGUCACAAGUGUUCUAUUAUAAAGGCUUUCAUGGCUAA
ensembl:lncRNA